CAACCGGGAUUGCCUCAGUAACGGCGAGUGAAGCGGCAAGAGCUCAAAUUUGAAAGCUGGCUCCUUCGGAGUCCGCAUUGUAAUUUGCAGAGGAUGCUUUGGGUGCGGCCCCCGUCUAAGUGCCCUGGAACGGGCCGUCAGAGAGGGUGAGAAUCCCGUCUUGGGCGGGGUGUCCGUGCCCGUGUAAAGCUCCUUCGACGAGUCGAGUUGUUUGGGAAUGCAGCUCUAAAUGGGUGGUAAAUUUCAUCUAAAGCUAAAUACUGGCCGGAGACCGAUAGCGCACAAGUAGAGUGAUCGAAAGAUGAAAAGCACUUUGAAAAGAGAGUUAAACAGCACGUGAAAUUGUUGAAAGGGAAGCGCUUGCGACCAGACUCGCCCGCGGGGUUCAGCCGGCAUUCGUGCCGGUGUACUUCCCCGUGGGCGGGCCAGCGUCGGUUUGGGCGGCCGGUCAAAGGCCCCUGGAAUGUAGUACCCUCCGGGGUACCUUAUAGCCAGGGGUGCAAUGCGGCCAGCCUGGACCGAGGAACGCGCUUCGGCACGGACGCUGGCAUAAUGGUCGUAAACGACCCGUCUUGAAACACGGACCAAGGAGUCUAACAUCUACGCGAGUGUUCGGGUGUCAAACCCGUGCGCGCAGUGAAAGCGAACGGAGGUGGGAGCCCCCUCGCGGGGCGCACCAUCGACCGAUCCUGAUGUCUUCGGAUGGAUUUGAGUAAGAGCGUAAAUGUGGGGACCCGAAAGAUGGUGAACUAUGCCUGAAUAGGGCGAAGCCAGAGGAAACUCUGGUGGAGGCUCGCAGCGGUUCUGACGUGCAAAUCGAUCGUCAAAUUUGGGUAUAGGGGCGAAAGACUAAUCGA
rnacentral:rRNA from 1 species